rnacentral:lncRNA from 1 species
GUUCGCCCAAGCGUCACUUUGCGCCUUGCACUCUCAAGAGCUUUUUAAGAGUUUCUCUUCAAUUUUCCCAUUACCCACUCACUAAAACUUCUUUGUUCAUCACUUUUGCACCAUUCCUUUGGCAAAGUUUGGGGUUUUUGGUGAGGGCACUGCAUUUGGGAAGCAUCCAUCAUCAUUCAAGGAGAAUUUUUCCAAGCAUUCAAAGUUUCUCCACCCAAGUAAGUCAUACAAUUUUCAUCUUAGGGUUUCUAGAAUAUGAAUUUGAUGAAAGCAUGUGUAGAAGCAUGAAAAAUUAGGGCUUUUGAUUUCUAUGCAUGAUUUGAUGAAAUAAAUAGAUUUUGCACGGAUUAAAUUGUAUGAUUUUGGUCUAGAACUGAGGAAUUUGCAUUUAGGUGGAGAUUCGUUCUUCUGCUUGGGUGUGAUGAAGGAUAUGGAAGACCCAUUCUGUUAUGUUCCCCCUUUCCAUUUCCAAAACGUGUCCUUUUUUCACUCUAUAUUUUUUUUCGUUUUCCUUUUUUUUUCUUUCAUUUUCUUUUCUUUAUUUUCUUUUUUGUUCUUUCUUUUUUUUUUCUUUUUCAUUGCUUUUCCUUUUAUCUUUUUUAUUCUUUCGUUUUUUUCUUUUACUUUUUUUUUCAUUCAUUUUUUCUUUUUCUUUUUCAUCAUUUCUUUUUCGUUUUCUUUUUCCUUCUUUUUUUUCGAAAUAAUAAAAUCAAAUGAAAACUAAAAUUAAUUCCAAAUAAUAAAAUAAAAUAAAA